rnacentral:lncRNA from 1 species
AAUAAGAGUUAUAUUUGGCAUCAACUGUCUUCCCAAAGAACAGCUGGUGGUGUCCUUGUGGGCAUGAAUAGUGAUAUAUAUGAGAUCAUUGGCUUUGUCAAUAGAGAGUUUUGUGAAGUUUGUCUGGCAAUUUGUUGUGAUUUAUGGUACGUCCUACAAUGAGCAUAAGAUGGAAUUUAUUGCGGAGUUACAUGAGGUGACGAGUAAUUCUUCAUAUCCCAUUAUUUUGGGUGGUGAUUUUAAUCUUAUUAGGUCUGACUCUAAUAAGAGUAGU